rnacentral:pre_miRNA from 1 species
AGAGGGAUAGCUGGGUCAAAUGGUGGUGCAAUUUCAAGUUUUUCAAGGAAUCUCCAUACUGCUUUCCAUAUUGGCUGCACCAAUUUGCAGUCCCACCAGCAAU